AUCACGCGACGCUAUCAGUCAAACAUAGCGAGAAGUCUAAAUCGCGCAAGUUAAGAUUUCACGGAUUGGAGCAUAUAUAAAACCUACGACCCAUCGUCGGUGCCGCGGUUCCUAACCUAGCCCGGCGGAAGCUCUUCCCUUUGGUCGAUCCCGAACUAUCGCACCCGGUACAAGUUUAUUAGCUUUUCCCCUGAUUGACUUUUACAAUCUGUACGAAAAGAGAAGCGGCUGGCACUCACUACGUCGAUACGUUUAUCGCCAAAUAUCACGCGAGUGGAGUCUUGGUUAAUAGUUAUUACAGUAUACAAGGUUGAUAAAGUUUAAAAAUCCUGGCUUCCACCUACAUUACUAUAUAAGCUGGCUUGUUUGAAUGUAAAUAUUACAUUUAUCAUUAGAAGAAAUGCUCAUCUGUAUGAGAAAAACAGGAAUACUGUAGUGCAAGUGGUACUGUGGGGAAAACCUAGUACCUAUAAAAUAUAAAUUUAACAAGUUCCUGAUUGUAAAAAGUGAAGACAAACAACACAGAUUGCUUAAAGUAAGUUUGGAAUUUACAAAUUGUUUCUACUAAAAUUAAAUAGCUUUGUACUGUCUGUGUGACUUAUGUUCAAAAAUAAUAAUAUAACCUUCAGCAACUUUUUCAUUAUAUUUUUUGAUUAGCAGGCAUUACAUUGGGCAAUGGUAAAAUUAAAUAAACAAAACAAUGUUACCUUUAA